rnacentral:rRNA from 1 species
AUUGAACGCUGGCGGCAUGCCUUACACAUGCAAGUCGAACGGCAGCACGGGAGCUUGCUCCUGGUGGCGAGUGGCGAACGGGUGAGUAGUACAUCGGAACGUACCCUGAAGUGGGGGAUAACGUAGCGAAAGUUACGCUAAUACCGCAUAUUCUGUGAGCAGGAAAGAGGGGGAUCGCAAGACCUCUUGCUUUAGGAGCGGCCGAUGUCGGAUUAGCUAGUUGGUGAGGUAAAGGCUCACCAAGGCGACGAUCCGUAGCGGGUCUGAGAGGAUGAUCCGCCACACUGGGACUGAGACACGGCCCAGACUCCUACGGGAGGCAGCAGUGGGAAUUUUGGACAAUGGGCGCAAGCCUGAUCCAGCCAUGCCGCGUGAGUGAAGAAGGCC